rnacentral:rRNA from 1 species
GUGGGGAAUAUUGGACAAUGGGCGAAAGCCUGAUCCAGCAAUGCCGCGUGAGUGAUGAAGGCCCUAGGGUUGUAAAGCUCUUUCACCGGAGAAGAUAAUGACGGUAUCCGGAGAAGAAGCCCCGGCUAACUUCGUGCCAGCAGCCGCGGUAAUACGAAGGGGGCUAGCGUUGUUCGGAAUUACUGGGCGUAAAGCGCACGUAGGCGGACAUUUAAGUCAGGGGUGAAAUCCCGGAGCUCAACUCCGGAACUGCCUUGAUACUGGGUGUCUGGAGUAUGGAAGAGGUGAGUGGAAUUCCGAGUGUAGAGGUGAAAUUCGUAGAUAUUCGGAGGAACACCAGUGGCGAAGGCGGCUCACUGGUCCAUUACUGACGCUGAGGUGCGAAAGCGUGGGGAGCAAACAGGAUUAGAUACCCCGGUAGUCC